rnacentral:rRNA from 1 species
UACAUGGGGGUGCAAACGUUGCUCGGAAUUAUUGGGCGUAAAGCGCGCGUAGGCGGUUACUCAAGUCGGAUGUGAAAGCCCUCGGCUUAACUGGAGGAAGUGCACCCGAAACUGAGUAGCUAGAGUACUAAAGAGGGUCGCGGAAUUCCCGGUUGUAGAGGUGGAAAUUCGUAGAUAUCGGGAGGAACACCGGUGGCGAAGGCGGCGACCUGGGUAGAUACUGACGCUGAGGCGCGAAAAGCGGUGGGGAGCAAACAGGG